UGAGGAAUAAUGAUCAGUGGGUUUGCCCCUGAUCCCAACCUUUCCUUUAUCAAAGAUAUACGGCCCAUAUGGGUUGUAGAGUUUUUUUGUACAGGGAUUAAACCUAUUUACGUGUAAAUAGCUGAAGGUAUUGUAUGAAUAAGCACCGGGUUACUCCGUGCCAGCAGCCGCGUUAAUUUUGAGGCUCCACGCAUUAUCCGGAUUUAUUGGGUUUAAAGGGUCCGUAGGCGGAUCUGUAAGUCAGUGGUGAAAUCUCACAGCUUAACUGUGAAACUGCCAUUGAUACUGCAGGUCUUGAGUAAGGUAGAAGUGGCUGGAAUAAGUAGUGUAGCGGUGAAAUGCAUAGAUAUUACUUAGAACACCAAUUGCGAAGGCAGGUCACUAUGUCUUAACUGACGCUGAUGGACGAAAGCGUGGGGAGCGAACAGGAUUAGAUACCCUGGUAGUCCACGCUGUAAACGAUGCUAACUCGUUUUUGGGUUUUCGGAUUCAGAGACUAAGCGAAAGUGAUAAGUUAGCCACCUGGGGAGUACGAACGCAAGUUUGAAACUCAAAGGAAUUGACGGGGGCCCGCACAAGCGGUGGAUUAUGUAGUGUAAUUCGAUGAUACGCGAGGAACCUUACCAAGGCUUAAAUGGGAAUUGAUCGGUUAGAAAAUAGCCCUCCUUUC
rnacentral:rRNA from 1 species